rnacentral:rRNA from 1 species
CCUACGGGGGGCGGCAGUGGGGAAUAUUGCGCAAUGGGCGAAAGCCUGACGCAGCGACGCCGCGUGGGGGAUGAAGCAUUUCGGUGUGUAAACCCCUGUUGCUCGGGACGAACAAGCCUUUUCGAGGGCUCUGACGGUACCGGGUGAGGAAGCACCGGCUAACUCUGUGCCAGCAGCCGCGGUAAUACAGAGGGUGCGAGCGUUGUCCGGAAUCACUGGGCGUAAAGGGCGCGUAGGCGGCCGAUCAAGUGUGUGGUGAAAGCCCGGGGCUCAACCCCGGGUCUGCCGUGCAAACUGGUUGGCUUGAGCACUGUAGAGGCAGGUGGAAUUCCGGGUGUAGCGGUGGAAUGCGUAGAGAUCCGGAAGAACACCGGUGGCGAAGGCGGCCUGCUGGGCAGUAGCUGACGCUGAGGCGCGACAGCGUGGGGAGCAAACAGGAUUAGAUACCCUGGUAGUCCACGCCGUAAACGAUGGGCACUAGGUGCUUGGGGGAGCGACCCCCUGAGUGCCGUCGCUAACGCAUUAAGUGCCCCGCCUGGGGAGUACGGCCGCAAGGCUGAAACUCAAAGGAAUUGACGG